rnacentral:rRNA from 1 species
UGGGUUUAAAGGGAGCGUAGAUGGAUGUUUAAGUCAGUUGUGAAAGUUUGUGGCUCAACCAUAAAAUUGCCGUUGAAACUGGGUUACUUGAGUGUGUUUGAGGUAGGCGGAAUGCGUGGUGUAGCGGUGAAAUGCAUAGAUAUCACGCAGAACUCCGAUUGCGAAGGCAGCUUACUAAACCAUAACUGACACUGAAGCACGAAAGCGUGGGGAUCAAACAGGAUUAGAUACCCUGGUAGUCCACGCAGUAAACGAUGAUUACUAGGAGUUUGCGAUACAAUGUAAGCUCUACAGCGAAAGCGUUAAGUAAUCCACCUGGGGAGUACGCCGGCAACGGUGAAACUCAAAGGAAUUGACGGGGGCCCGCACAAGCGGAGGAACAUGUGGUUUAAUUCGAUGAUACGCGAGGAACCUUACCCGGGCUUAAAUUGCAGAUGAAUUACGGUGAAAGCCGUAAGCCGCAAGGCAUCUGUGAAGGUGCUGCAUGGUUGUCGUCAGCUCGUGCCGUGAGGUGUCGGCUUAAGUGCCAUAACGAGCGCAACCCUUAUCACUAGUUACUAACAGGUGAAGCUGAGGACUCUGGUGAGACUGCCAGCGUAAGCUGUGAGGAAGGUGGGGAUGACGUCAAAUCAGCACGGCCCUUACAUCCGGGGCGACACACGUGUUACAAUGGCAUGGACAAAGGGCAGCUACCUGGCGACAGGAUGCUAAUCUCCAAACCAUGUCUCAGUUCGGAUCGGAGUCUGCAACUCGACUCCGUGAAGCUGGAUUCGCUAGUAAUCGCGCAUCAGCCAUGGCGCGGUGAAUACGUUCCCGGGCCUUGUACACACCGCCCGUCAAGCCAUGGGAGCCGGGGGUACCUGAAGUGCGUAACCGCGAGGAGCGCCCUAGGGUAAAACUGGUGACUGGGGCUAAGUCGUAACAAGGUAGCCGUACCGGAAGGUGCGGCUG